rnacentral:rRNA from 1 species
UACGUAGGGGGCAAGCGUUGUCCGGAUUUAUUGGGCGUAAAGAGCGUGUAGGCGGCCAUACAGGUCAGCUGUGAAAACUCGAGGCUCAACCUCGAGACGUCGGUUGAAACCGUAUGGCUAGAGUCCGGAAGAGGAGAGUGGAAUUCCCGGUGUAGCGGUGAAAUGCGCAGAUAUCGGGAAGAACACCCGUGGCGAAGGCGGCUCUCUGGGACGGUACUGACG